UACGUAGGGUGCAAGCGUUAAUCGGAAUUACUGGGCGUAAAGCGUGCGCAGGCGGUUUUGUAAGACAGAUGUGAAAUGCCCGGGCUUAACCUGGGAACUGCAUUUGUGACUGCAAGGCUAGAAUCUGGCAGAGGGGGGUAGAAUUCCACGUGUAGCAGUGAAAUGCGUAGAUAUGUGGAGGAAUACCGAUGGCGAAGGCAGCCCCCUGGGCUAAGAUUGACGCUCAUGCACGAAAGCGUGGGGAGCGAACAGG
rnacentral:rRNA from 1 species